UACGUAGGUGGCAAGCGUUGUCCGGAUUUAUUGGGUUUAAAGGGUGCGUAGGCGGCUUUGUAAGUCAGUGGUGAAAUACGGUAGCUUAACUAUCGAGGUGCCAUUGAUACUGCAGAGCUUGAGGACUGGAGAGGAGACUGGAAUUUACGGUGUAGCGGUGAAAUGCGUAGAUAUCGUAAGGAAGACCAGUGGCGAAGGCGGUCUCUGGACGGCUAACUGACGCUGAGGCGCGAAGGCCAGGGAGCAAACGGG
rnacentral:rRNA from 1 species